GAGGAGGUGCAUGUGCUAUGGGAGCAGGCAGGAUGGCCUGAGGGAAGAGGUGGGGUGUUUGUAUGGUGGUGUGGUGAGCCUCAGCACAAGCAGUAUGUGGAGGAUGUGGGGCUGUAGCUGCCUGGCAGGCACCAAAGGAGAGGUGUGGAAGUGGCUGACCCGUCCUCCCAGGCCACGUGAAGGACCCAUAGUGGAGAUGUCUUUCCCUGCCUCCUUUCCAGCAGUGCCCUGCGCAGCCUGGCCCCUCGUUAGCGGGAGGGGGCUCCUGCAGAAGGCUGUCCUCCUGGCACGAUCCGUGCAGCUCCAUCGCAGUGCUGCUCUUCCAAGCUGUGCAGCUCACUCCCACACUUGCUUUGUGGAGCAUGCAGUUUCCCUGCUUCCAAGAAGUAGUAAUACAAAAUAAGAGUACAAAGGUCUGGAGAGGGUCAAUGGGGCUGUAGAAGGAGUCUUACAGCAAGAAUAAAGACAGCUCUAGCUCUUACUCUGAUGAAAGGCCAAAUCCUGCUUUUUUCUUAUAACACAAAUUAAUCCCUGGUGAUGUACAACUUGGGUUAGUAAGAGCACUAACCAAUUCUCCUGUGUAUCAAGCAAAUCAGCCCUUCCUGCUUUAAACAGCAGUUUGUACAGAUGUGUAAAUAGAAAAUGUUGUUUUGCUUCUCAGGGGAUCUAUUGUUUGGUGGAACAAUAAUAAUAGUUUCCAAAUGUA